AUUGAACGCUGGCGGCAGGCUUAACACAUGCAAGUCGAGCGGAGCGAGGGUGCUUGCACCUUAGCUUAGCGGCGGACGGGUGAGUAAUGCUUAGGAAUCUGCCUAUUAGUGGGGGACAACAUUCCGAAAGGAAUGCUAAUACCGCAUACGCCCUACGGGGGAAAGCAGGGGAUCUUCGGACCUUGCGCUAAUAGAUGAGCCUAAGUCGGAUUAGCUAGUUGGUGGGGUAAAGGCCUACCAAGGCGACGAUCUGUAGCGGGUCUGAGAGGAUGAUCCGCCACACUGGGACUGAGACACGGCCCAGACUCCUACGGGAGGCACCAGUGGGGAAUAUUGGACAAUGGGCGGAAGCCUGAUCCAGCCAUGCCGCGUGUGUGAAGAAGGCCUUUUGGUUGUAAAGCACUUUAAGCGAGGAGGAGGCUACUUAGAUUAAUACUCUGGGAUAGUGGACGUUACUCGCAGAAUAAGCACCGGCUAACUCUGUGCCAGCCGCCGCGGUAAAAC
rnacentral:rRNA from 1 species